rnacentral:lncRNA from 10 species
AGUCUGUGAGUAGGGCCUGAUGGAAGCCGGAAUUCAGGGAUAGGGACUUGGCUCUAAGCCCUUGAGAGCCCCCCACCCCCACCUUCUGGGUUUCUGGUGGUUUCUUUUUAAAAUCAGGAUUUAGGCAGCUCCACGUGCGGAGUAGGGGCGGGGCAGCCACACCUUCUCACCCACACAGUGGUGGUACUUCAGCAGGGGGCUGGUGCAGAUGAAGACCUGCGUGCUGCGGAGAAGGACGCGGUUACCGCCGGGAGCCAGGAGCCCGCCCAGGACUCCGCCCGCCCCCCUCUCUCCUUACUCCGGUAGGUCGUUCAUCUCCCGCACAGCGUCCAAGGCUCCCGGGAUGGGCUCCAGGUCCAGGAAAAAGCCCGGGGCUUCGUACACACUGGCCACUUUAUCCUGAAAGACAAGAGUUCUGGGUCCCGGCUUCCCGUUCCCGCGAGGACCCGCAGGGAGGCUCCUGGGGGCUCCGGGCCCGAGCUCAGAGGGGCGGAGGGGGCGUCGGUCAGGGGCACGCGCCCAAAGGCUCCUCCCCAGGGUGCGCUGCCCGCGGGUUCCAGGGUGAGAGCUCUGCGCCCUUCACAGAGAAGGGGGAGACCCCCGGAACGGAGCGAGCGGGCCCUGCCCGGGUGGGGACCCUGCGCCCCCUACCGCCAGGUCGGGCCGCAGGGCGCGGUACUGCUCGCGGGCCAGGAAGCCGCGGCGUUGCUCCAGCGGCACGUGCGGCUCCUCAGGGAAGCGGCGGCGGAAGCCCCGCAGGAGGCCGGCCUCGAAGUCGGCCAGGACGCCGUCCAUGUCCACCAGCACGCGCACGCUCCGCGCCAUCGCCGCCGGGCCGGAGCUGCGAGCUCUCGGGGUCUGGGGGGCGCGGGCUCGGCCGGAAGCGGAGGGAGCGCUGCUUCCGGAGUCCGCCGGGCUGAUUUGCAUAGAGUGUCCGGGCCGCCCCGCCCAGGUCGUAAACCAGUGCCGACGGCCCUGCGGUUGCGCGAGGCCAUCCUAGGGUUCGGGUGCAGGGACGGCUUUGGGGGGCACUUUUCUGACCCUGCGCUUCUUCGGGACCCAGCCUUUGUCCCCAUCAGCCGCCUCCCACUUUACGGCAGACGUACCCCCGUUCACCCCACGUUACUAGUAGGGGACCGACCUUCCGGGGGCCCAACAAAGGGAUGCUCUGAAAUACUGGGAAGCAUCUAACGAGGAGUCAAGGGUCCUAAACCCGUGGGGCUAGCUCCACAUUUUUUUUCUUUUUUUCUUUUUUUUUUUUUUUAUUUUGAGACGGAGUCUGGCUCUGUCGCCCAGGCUGCGGCGCAGUGGCGGCGCGAUCUCGGCUCACUGCAGCCUCCGCUUCCCGGGUUCAACCGAUUCUCUUGCUUCAGCCUCCCGAGUAGCUGGGAUUACAGGCACCCGCCACCACGCCUGGCUAAUUUUUGUAGUUUUAGUAGAGACGGGGUUUCGCCAUGUUGGUCAGGCUGGUUUCAAACUCCUGACCUCAAGUGAUCUGCCUGCCUUGGCCUCCCAAAGUGUUGGGAUUAUAGGCUUGAGCCACCGCACCUGGCCAAAGUCUUAUUACCGCAGUACCGUGGUCUCAGUGGAUUGCUUUCGUCUGUGCAGUGGAGCAGGAACAAUCCCUCGAGGACUACAAAGUGAAAUGAAUCUGUUAACUGGUUUGUGUAAGUCUAGCUCGUUAAGAGACUAAUUCACACUAGAGUUGGCUUGAAACAUGGGAGCUUCAAGUGUGGUUUCCCCCGGAAAGAUGAUUUUGAUCAAGCACAGGUAAUCAGGACUGUCCUCAGGACUUUAUGUGGAACUGACAUCGCUUACCUACUCCCGUCUAGAAAAUGCUGAACAGGGCCAGGUGCGGUGGCUCACGCCUAUAAUCCCAGCACUUUGGGAGGCCGUGGCGGGCGGAUCAUCUGAGGUCGGGAGUUCAAGACCAGCCUGACCAACAUGGAGAAAUCCUGUCGCUACUAAAAAUACAAAAUUAGCGUGGUGGCACAUGCUUGUAAUCCCAGCUACCCGGGAGGCUGAGGCAGGAGAAUCUCUUGAAUCCAGGAGGCAGAGGUUGCGGUGAGCCGAGAUCAUGCCAUUGCCCUCCAGCCUGGGCAGCAAGAACAAAACUCCUUCUCAAAAAAAAAAAAAAAAAAAAAGAACAUGCUGAACUGUG